rnacentral:rRNA from 1 species
GACGAACGCUGGCGGCGUGCUUAACACAUGCCAGUCGAACGGAAAGGCCCUGCCUUUGUGGGUUGCUCGAGUGGCGAACGGGUGAGUAACACGUGAGUAACCUGCCCUUGACUUUGGGAUAACUUCAGGAAACUGGGGCUAAUACCGGAUAGGAGCUCCUGCUGCAUGGUGGGGGUUGGAAAGUUUCGGCGGUUGGGGAUGGACUCGCGGCUUAUCAGCUUGUUGGUGGGGUAGUGGCUUACCAAGGCUUUGACGGGUAGCCGGCCUGAGAGGGUUACCGGGCACAAUGGGACUGAGAGACGGCCCAGAAGCAUACGGGAGGCAGCAGUGGGGAAUAUUGCACAAUGGGCGGAAGCCUGAUGCAGCAACGCCGGGUGCGGGAAGACGGGCUUCGGGUUGUAAACCGAUUUCGCCUGUGACGAAGCGUGAGUGACGGUAAUGGGUAAAGAAGCACCGGCUAACUACGUG